rnacentral:lncRNA from 1 species
UCAGGCCCCAAGUGAUCAAUGCAGAUCCUUCCAAAGAGAAGAAUAAGCCUAAAGAAAGCGCCAGCUGAUAUUCCGUCUCUUCUGGAGUUGAAACAAUUAUACUACGACUCAUGACACGGUAAACUUGUGUUUCACUUUUUCUAAUGUUGUAUCUACUAUCUUUUAACUAAUUUGUUUUUGUCGAUCAAGUGGCACCUGGUAUUCUGGACCAUGAACUUGUAUGGCUUUAUAUAUCUAGCACAUACUCUUCUUCCUUUCUAACUUUAUUGCAAACUCUGACUUCCAGAUUUACUUGAUGGAUUUGAACUCGCAUCUCGAUAUAUCUCGCAUUUAUGUGGUUAACGAUAUCGGUAUAAAUGAUUACCUUGAGAUUUGUUGAUACUGUAAGGCGAUAUAUGAGAUUCCAUUAGUGAAGGGCAACCCAGAGCAGUGGAUAUCGGUGAAGCUCUUUCCUUGUUAAAUCUUUACUGAGUUUUUCAAGGCACAAUUGUUCAUUCUGUGAUUUAAUGAAAUGCAGGUUCUAAGGAAAAUCUGCUCGUACUUAGUUCUAUCACCACAUGAUCCUGUACAAUUAAGCCUUCUUAAUGCCACUUUAGAAAAUAAACAUCUCUCAGAAAUUCCCAUUUCAUCUUUGAAUUGUUUUAGGUUAUUGGUUGUACAUCUUGUAAUAUCUCAAUAAUGUGCCAUAGAAUUUGGUUGACCAUGCCUUUGUUAUUUUAACACAGGUUGCUGCUGAAACAAUUGGUCAUGGUGGAGGUUAUCCAAUGGACACCUCUUUAAAGUACUUUCAAAGAUGAAUUUGAGAAUGAGAAAAUGUGCUAGGAGGUGCACUUGUUGAGAAGGUAGCAGAAAAUCUUAGACAGGGCCCAAUCAUAGUCAAAAGAAGAAUUUCUGCUUCUCCUGGGUGAGACAAGCUACCUUUGGCUAGGGGCCUCAUCAGAGAAUCAUUGAACAUGUAAUUACAGAACUCGUUGUUUUUCUUCUUUUAAUUGGAUCAUCACUGAGAUGUGACUCACUCUAUUUUGUGCAGAAUAUUAUUGUCAUUUUGAAGUAUUGCUGGAGGAUUACCUUAAAGAGACUUGCAGAGCUGUUAUGCCUCAGUAUCCAGGUCUGAUUAUGUGGAACAAUUGUUUAUGUUCAUUAUCCAUGUCACUCUUUAUGAAUGAUUGCCUAGACCCCUCAUUUAACCCCGAGCAGCCUCUCUCCCAUGAUCCCUAAUUGGGGCAUGGCUGCUGAUCUUGGAUACAAGUUCCAAAUGUGUAAAGAGGUUUUGGUGCGUUGAAAGCCAAAGGCUUGUCAUGGAUUUGAGAGUGUUGUCUUCAUAAUUUUGUUUUGUACACUUGGCUUAGUCAACUUCUUGUUGUAGUUGUGUCAUUUUCUAGCAUUAUGAAGCCAUUUCUUGUGCCAUGGAGCCUGAAAUUCUAAUGCACUUUAUAAGGGUGGGAGGAGCUCUGUUAUAUUGCUAGAAAUAGCUAAGCUAGCUUUUUCUGCUAGUAUUAACACUCACCAUACCAUUUCCUGCGUUACAAAAGUAUAUCUCGCUGGAGAUCUUGAUUAAUGUGUUUAGGAAAUCUUUGAAGUUAAAUCACUCUAGGAAAAGAGCUUUGUUUUUGGGUUCUCUUACUACUGUUGUUGAGAGCUUUAAUCAAUCACAUGCCUCAAUUUAUUAAAUCAACGCUAUCAUCUAAUAGAGAGACCAUAUAAUGAUAAUUAUUCAAGCUUUUGUGAUAUUCUAUCAGCAUGACCUCUUACUUCUAUAUUACCAUUUUAGGAAGCUGAGAAGCAUCUCUCCUUGAUGGUUGUUUCCAAGUCCCUAAUGGCAAAGAUAGACUGGCCAAAGGGAAUUGUUAGUUUCAAAAUGACAAAGGACAGCAAUGAGAUUUUAAACUUAGAGGAGACAAUUUUGGAAAAGCUGCUUCUUUUUGUUAAGAAAAGUUGCCACCAAAUCCCAAAGGAAACUGCAGUUCAUAAGGCUGCCUCAAGAGCUUGAAGAUGUUUUCAUUUGAAUGAAUGAUCUCUCCUCAAUGAAUGCUGUUUCACAUUGUGGUCCAAAGUGUGGACGGGAGAUAUUCAUCAUUGAACUCUCACAUGGCUGUCUUAAACUUGAUUGCAUAUUUUGCAAGAUGACCAGAUCUUGGCUUUGUUUCGGAUAUACUUAAUACGCUUUCAAAAUAGGAAUGUAGUUUGGUUUUUUCAACUUUCCUCUUUCCCCCAUCAUUUUAAUUGAAGAUUUAUGGGCUCAGGUCCGAAACUUAUAUCAAUGGAACAGGUAUUAGCACAAGAUGUGCACUCAUUUGGACUGAAAUAAGUGCCUCGUUACUAAAUUCUGUUUCGCAUUACAAAUGUUGCUAGUGCUUGUGUUUUUCUAACAUCGUGAAUAACAUUAGCUCUCCCUAGUAAAGGCUUAACGAAUGGUACUUUUUCCAUUUUAUUUCACAUUUGAAAUGAGCACCCUGUUUCUAGAGAACUUCAUUCCGAUAAGAUAACUGCACAUUUUAUCUCUUCGAGAGACGUUUUUUUUCUUCAAGUUGAUACUUGAUAGAAGAUGGAGCUUGUUUUUUAGAUUUCCAGCUCCCUUAUUUUCUUCAUGGAAACUGAAAAAUUUGGGAAAAGCUAUGGCCAUGAUAUCUUUUGGCUAUGAAAAUAGUUGUGCCCCAUAAGUGAAAAGCACCAUUUUACUUUCUUCACCAAGUAAACGUAUUUAUUAUUUUGUUAGAGAAUGUGAUUAUAGAAAUUACUUAGCAUAAUUUAAAGAAAAUUCAUGAUUUUUACUAUAGUAACUUUUCUUGUUAUAUGUGCCGUUAAUGGAUUGGAAAUUACAUAAAUCAUCAUAGAUACACUUAAAAGUUAUUCUUGAGGUCCUCAUUAACACGAUCAAUCAUUUAGGAGAAAUAAAAAAAAUUUCUUCAAAAUUUGAUCCUCAGUUUAAAGCAGCCUGGAACUUGUUUUACUACCUCUAGUUAACUUAAUUAGUGUUGUAGUGUAAUUAUCAACGCCUUAUUUCAAGUGCAGGGAAAAUUCGAGAUAACGCAAAAAUCAAUUUUUUGGUCAAUAUUUGAAGAUCUCUUUUUGUCCCAUACUUGAGAACUAAUUAAAAUUCUGAUAGGAAAAAGAUUACUAUAAAGCAUUCAAAACAUUUGAUUUGACAAAAAUUAAUCAUUACGGUAAGGGUGGUGAUCGUAUACUUGAAGAAGGAGGCUCCAUCGAUUUUAAUCGACAAUUUUCCACAAAUUAGAGCGGUACCAAUUUGAAAACCCUAAUGCAUUUUCGCUUUUUUGUUUCUUUAUAGAACCUCAAGCCCCAUCUUCCCUUUCUUUUAUACAAUUCUCUCAUUUUCAAUUUGUUUUUUCCUAUUUUUGCCUUUCCGUCCUACCAAUAAUGGCGUCAUGCCUUGCCAGGGAGCCGCUUUCCCGGGAGGCCGCCUUGCCUUCGCGAGCGACCCUCCUCUCUCCGCGUGCUACGAUCUUCGGAGAUGAAAAAACGUGACCCCAAAUUUUACUUUCCUCCUUAGAGGUUCGAGUUCGGCCCAUGUCGAGAAAUCGCGAUGGUUUCUGAAUGUGGGUUUCUCCGUUUGCGGAUUAAAAUCAGCGCGGCUGAGACGAGAAGUACCAGCGAGAGGAAAAGCGCUCGUCCCUACCGAUCUGAGCAUCGCAGUACCCGAAGGAACAUGUGCUCGAGUAGCUAAUGUGCAGCUUCUCAUCUCGAAACAUCGUCUCAAUACCUUGUUUUGGAUGAUUGACGAGGGCCGAAUCGAAUCGCGUGUGCAUCUGUUGCUUCAGCACCUGAUAUCGGGUUUGGCGUGGAAGCAUUAGAUCGACGUCUGUGUGGGCGUGAUCGAUGCGGACUACAGAGGCCCGGUUGGGGUGAUCCUGUUCAAUUACUCGGACGUCGACUUUGAAGUGAAGGUGAGUGACAAGACCGCGCAACUGAUCCUUAGUCCGUGAUGAUAGAGAUAAGGCAUAUUGUUUAAGUUAAGUAGUUUUAUUUUGUUUUAUCAUCUUUUCCUGGUUUAGUGAAGUCAGUUAUUGGUGGUCCACUCUGUUUUUAUUCUGGUUAGUAGAUUUGUUUUAGGAUUUGAGUUAUCUUGUAAAGGGAUGAAUUCUUUUUGGUUUAGAUGGAUAGGUAUUUCCUUGGUGCCUUACUUAUUAUACCUUUUACACAACAAAGAAACCGGGGAGAAAAGAAAUUGAGAUUGGGUGCCAGACUAGUGAUUCAAAAUACUAAUCAACCGAAGAUGAACAAUAAGUAUGGGUUGUACCUCUCCAUUGCAAUAAGAGUUUGUUGUGGAGUUUCUCCCUUGCAUGAACAUAGCAUGUGUCAGGUUUGCUGGUGGCGAAAGGAAUAUUAAACAAGCGAGAGCCAAGAUUAUUGUGUUCAGUCGUCUACUGAUUUCCUGGGGCAUGAAUUUUUGUCUUCCUAGCUAUAAGCACUCUUUUCCUUCCUCAUCAAGUGCUUGAGUCAAAAUUAUUUGAUGACACUUUUGAUACUUGGAUAUUCAUACCUGUUAAAAUGUUUUUCCUGUAUAUAGUAACUCCCAAACUUUCUUUACCAAAGAAAGUAUCUUACACUCAUUUGAUAUGAGCAAAUUGGAUUGUCUAGAUUAACCGAUGUCUAGGUAUUUGCCUUUUCAUCUCUGCUUUUGGGUGAUAAGCUGGUGGAAAUUUUGCUCUUCAUUGAGUGUAUUUCAUUGUUAUGCUGUGCUGAAUGCUGAUAAGUUCCUCUGGAUUAGUCAGAGCAUUAUGACUGGUGGCUAUUUAUUAUACCUGUACCAGAUUUUUACCUUGACGAUUGUUAUUAGGAUUGCUAACUGUAUAGGAGGCAAUUAAAAAGAUGCAAGUUGGUUGCAUCGACAAUCAUUCCCAGAUUGGAUUAGGAGUAAGAUCACUGGAGAUGUAGGAUGGGAUUCCUAGUCCCAGUCCACCUACUUUGCCUAUUUAAUUAGGACUCGACCUCAUAGUAAAUCAAAUUAGGCCCCAUUUCUCAUUGUGCAUGACCAAUUGUAUGUCUGAAACAAUAUUUAAAGGCCGAACCUGCUUUUUGGGCUAACUUUGGGGAUUAAACUGUAAGGGGAUUAUAAAUAAAAUUGAGGUGUUACCCUCGUCCUGAAUUAGAUUGGAUGGAAGAUUUAAUUGGUGGUUGUGGGAAGGCUGAAAAUACUUUCUAUGCAGACUUGGGAGAGUCCAUAUGCUUUCACCUGGAUUAAGAAUAACCUUUUAUUGCUGGAGUUGGAAGUGAGCUCUAAUUUCAUAAGAGCUUCGGUUGGGGAUAUGGGAGGUCUGCUGUGCCUCCACAACCAGCAAUGCAACACAAUGCCAUCACCUUUGUACUGCAACCAUCUACAGAAUUCUUUUUUAGGUCACAGCAUACAGCUCCUCACCUAGUCUAUUUCUUUUACCGUCCUCUUGUCUUCUUUUCAAUGCCAUCAUCUGCCUUUGCUUUCAUUUUGUUUUCUUCUUUUCUUUUGCCAUCAUCAGCAGUGCAGAGUCUUAUGAUUAUUGAUCCAUAGUGUGGUCCAGUUUCAAUCAUUUGGGAACAAUCUUAACAACCAUUACCUUAAAGGUUUUAUUUAUAUGAACUUAUACUGCAGCCAUUGCCUCCCAUAUGUGUACUGAUUAGAUCAUAUGCUGUCGUUUUGUGUAGUUGUAAUAUGCCAUCAUGUAUGACCAUUUGAAAAAUGAAUCUCAUUGGCACAUCUAUAUGGGUAUUGGCUCUCGGCAAUCCCUAGAGGUGCUAGAACUCAGGCCCAGUGCUCAUGCCGUUUGCAAGUUUUUUCAAUUGGCUGGGAUCAUCGUGAUUGUAUUUGUAUUGCACCUUGCUAUGACCCCUUUAAUUCCUCUUUUUACUCUAUUUUCUUUCUAGAUGAAUAAUUUUUCUUGCUGUUAAUCAGAUAGUUCAACUGAAAGUUAUAAUUGUGCCCUAGAAAUAAUCAAGUAAUGAAUUAAUUUGAUGGUGACACUUAACUCUGUUGCUCCUAGGAAGGUGAAAAUGUGAAAUCAAACUCUAUUGUGGCUUAUGUUCAUGAGCAACCUGUUUUGGUUUCGUGGUUUCUAUAGCUAGUUUCAUUAUGCAGCUAUAUGUCGAAAUUGAGAGAGUGCGGCUGAUAAAGAAACUUGCAAAAGUUAAAGGAAGAACAAGGUCUUACAGCAGAAGCUGCUGAUUUAAUACAAGAAAUUGCAGUAGCUAGAAGUUGACUUCUGGGUUCACUGAUCUUGUAAUUGGUUUUUCCUUGUCCAGCAUUAUGAGUGGUUUGAAUUGCUGUGGAAAAUUUUGGAGCAUUGGCAAGUACGGAGAAAAUUGCCUUUAUCCUAGAACAAGUAAGGGGUUUUCGUAUUGCUUUUAGCCGUUUAUGCUCUCUUACUAUGAUCAGUUUUUUUAUCAAUGGUUUUGUAGGUUCUUUUGAGCUUAUAUUGCCAGGACUAUGUCCAUGCACAGAUCCAGAAAAUCAGGCCCCCAGUGUUUGAUGAGAAGAAAAGGCCUAAAGAAGGGGAAAGUAUUGUGGAAGAAGCGCCAGCUGAUAUUCGGUCACUUCUGGAGUUGAAACAGAUAUAAUCAGAACCCAUAAUAUGGUGAAUUGGUGCUUUACUUAUUCUAAUGUUGUAUCUACUAUUUUUAUAACUAAAACUUUUUGGCCGAUCAAGCACUACCUGGUAUUCAGGUUGUGGUUCAAGCCAUGGUUUUAUUCAUCAGUUGCAUUCUCUUUUUCCUUUCUAUCUUUAUUGCAAAUUCUGAUGUAAGAGAUGUACAUAAUGGAUUUGAACACAUAUCUUACCUCACAUUCAUGUGGUUAACGAUGUAAGUAUUAUCCACAUUACAUGGGUUACCUUGAGAUUUGUCAUUGCUAUAUGGCAAUAUAUGAGAUUCCAUCAGUGAAGGGGAAACCCAGAGCAGCGGAUACCAGAGAAGCUCUUUCGUAUAAGGCUUUGUCGAGUCUUCACUGAUUUUUUCUAGGCACAGCUGUUCAUUCUGUGAUUUAAUUAGUUG